rnacentral:rRNA from 1 species
GGUACCAAAUCGUUGCAAACUAAGAAUACUAAGUGAAAAGAUUAUCAGUGAGACUGUGGGGGAUAAGCUCCAUUGUCAAGAGGGAAACAGCCCAGAGCACCAGUUAAGGCCCCUAAAUAAUUGCUAAGUGAUAAAGGAAGUGGGAGUGCAAAAACAAUCAGGAGGUUUGCUUAGAAGCAGCAAUCCUUUAAAGAAAGCGUAAUAGCUCACUAG